rnacentral:ncRNA from 1 species
GGCACACAGAAAGCGCCAGGACUCCCCGCAAGAAGACAGGAUUGCCGGAGACGGGGAGUUGACGAGGGAGACGUUCAUCGAGUUUGUUCGGCGGGUGCGUCUCGGCUCAGGGCCGGUCGUCAGAGCGGCGACAAAGCCCGGUGGUGACACCGGGGACAAAGCACCGCUCAGGCCCCGCG